CCAUCUUCCCACCUCUAGCGCUCCGCCACUCCUGCCACGCCCCACCGCCGGUAUCCGCCCCGCUGCCGCGCGCCGCCAACCCCGCCCCUACCACUACCCCAAGUCCCCACCCUCACAGCCUUCCACCGCCAGCGACACUCCACGCUGCGGCCAUUGCCGGCUCCCCCAGCCCCUGCUACCACGGCGCCGUCGGGAAUCCUCCCCGCCACCUGUUGGAACCGCCCGCCUGGCUCCCGCUGUGAACAUCACCGCCACCUCUCUAUCGAUUCCUGCCCCAGUGGAUGGUCUCCUCCACCUGCGCUCGCAUCCUCAGACUUUGACGAAAAACAAGCCGGCAUCCUGCAGUUCGCCGGUGUUUCGUCAGCCGGUCCUACGCUUUCAGGUAUGUAGACAAGGAGGCUUGAAAUCACGGUCUUUGUUCUCUGGCAACCUGCAGUUCAUUGGUGACAAAUUGAUUUUUGUUGCAAUGGUUGCUAAAUCCUAUGAGGGCCUACAGGUUAACUCUUGCGAUUUUCUUCUACCAAGCGUAGUAGCUAAUCUUUAAUUUGCAACUGACUUUACUUAUGGUUAUAGGAUUUGCAGUAAAAGUGACAUCAUCUAUUUGUCUACGUAUGGAAGAAAAAUCCGGAGGAAAAAUCUUUAAGGCCUGUGGCAAUCCACCGAUUUGUAUUUUAUUCCAUUCUCGUUGGCAAGUUCCCUCGAGAGAGUUGAUUAAAUUGAUCUAGCUAGCUCAGGUCCAUGUAGAUGCAUGAGCUUAUGGCCGGCAGGGAAAUUAAUUAAUUAGCGGAAUCCAUGCUUGGAUUUAGGUCAACAUUGGAUUGCUUAUCUCUGAUUUUUGUCUUCGGUGGCUGAACAGCGCAUCUCCUCCUGUCAUCGUGUUGCUCUCCGCUCUCUGUCGUCUUCUCUGAUUUUUGUUGAGCUACAUGUGCAGGUGUCUGAGGCAGGAAGGGUUAUUAGAAUCCAUGAGGAGCAGCAAGAUGCAGCAACCAUUGCCGGCCUAGCUGCUUAUAGGGACAACCACACGGUGUAUUAGUGUCUCGAUCUAAUUCAUUUAACCACACAUAUCAUCCAUGGAUUGGAGAGAGUGAGAGGCCCAAGAUAAUCCACAGGUAUAAUGGUGCAAUUCACACAAAUGAACAAGCUUAACAAGAUUGCGUGCAAGGUACUCAAAUGAUUUGAAUUUCAAGCUCUUCUUUUUUCUUGGUUACCAGUCUGCAGUAGAUGAUAAAUAUUGGUGCUCACUUUCUCCACAAUAAUCAGAUUUUUACAGAAAACUAAUAGCUGGUUUCAUUGAACAGAUCUUGCACGGUUUGCUAUUUAUCUAAUAGUUAGUUUGGUAUGUCUUUGAGAAACAGUAGGCAUUUUUACUAGAUGUAUUUUAUUUUUGUGUUUUUGAUAAUGUACACAACCAUGGCAGUUUCUUCUGGAAUAUUGUUGCUUUCACAAUAAUAAGUUUGAUAACGGUCAUAAGCAUGGCAUUCUUACUAUGAUGCAACAAUGUGCAGCUAGCUAGGUGUAGCUAAUACAAUAAGUUUGCUUUUCACUUCAGAAUUCAGAGGAACUCAGCGUUUGUUUUAUAGUUCAAACCAAUUACUUGUAUAUUCCAAAACGAUAUUGUCUCGUGGUACUAGGUUAUCAAAAUAUAAUGUUCACCAUGGCCAAAGGAAAAUUUCAUUCAGGGUAUUAGUUUGUUUCAUCCACCAAGACAAACAGCUGGUGGUAUAUGGUGAUGAGAUGGGCUUCUUCAGCUCUUUAUUUGGCAGUUCUUUUUUCGAUUCCCCUCUCUAUUGUCAUGAAAUUUCAGCAAUACAGAUUUGUGAUCUUGUCAGGUAAUCAUGCUGAUUGAGAAAGAAAUGGUACCCCAGGACUAUCUAUUGUACUAAUAUUCAGAAAAAAUGU
rnacentral:lncRNA from 1 species